rnacentral:rRNA from 1 species
UACGUAGGUGGCAAGCGUUGUCCGGAUUUACUGGGCGUAAAGAGCGCGCAGGCGGUCGUUCAAGUCGCGUGUGAAAGCCCCCGGCUCAACUGGGGAGGGUCACGCGAUACUGAUCGACUCGAAGGCAGGAGAGGUUAGUGGAAUUCCCGGUGUAGUGGUGAAAUGCGUAGAUAUUGGGAGGAACACCAGUGGCGAAGGCGGCUCACUGGACCGGUACUGACGCUGAUGCGCGAAAGCGUGGGGAGCAAACGGG